rnacentral:rRNA from 1 species
UACGGAGGGUGCAAGCGUUAAUCGGAAUUACUGGGCGUAAAGCGCACGUAGGUGGUUUGUUAAGCUAGCUGUGAAAUCCCCGGGCUCAACCUGGGCACUGCAGUUAGAACUGGCAAGCUAGAGUAGGGUAGAGGGGUGUGGAAUUCCAGGUGUAGCGGUGAAAUGCGUAGAUAUCUGGAGGAACAUCAGUGGCGAAGGCGACACCCUGGACUCAUACUGACACUGAGGUGCGAAAGCGUGGGGAGCAAACAGGAUUAGAAACCCGAGUAGUCC